UACGUAGGUGGCAAGCGUUAUCCGGAUUUACUGGGUGUAAAGGGCGUGUAGGCGGGGACGCAAGUCAGAUGUGAAAACCACGGGCUCAACCUGUGGCCUGCAUUUGAAACUGUGUUUCUUGAGUACUGGAGGGGCAGACGGAAUUCCUAGUGUAGCGGUGAAAUGCGUAGAUAUUAGGAGGAACACCAGUGGCGAAGGCGGUCUGCUGGACAGCAACUGACGCUGAGGCGCGAAAGCGUGGGGAGCAAACAGG
rnacentral:rRNA from 1 species